GAGUUUGAUCAUGGCUCAGAACGAACGCUGGCGGCGUGGAUAAGACAUGCAAGUCGGACGCUGAUUGCAGGGUAGCAAUAUUCUGCAGUCGGAGUGGCGUAAGGGUGCGUAACACGUGGGUAAUCUGCCGUGAAGUUGGGGAUAACCCCGAGAAAUCGGGGCUAAUACCGAAUGUGGUUGCUUGGAGGCCUCUCCGGGCAACUGAAGCUGGGGACCGCAAGGCCUGGCGCUUCACGAUGAGCCCGCGGCCUAUCAGCUAGUUGGCGGGGUAACGGCCCACCAAGGCGAAGACGGGUAGCUGGUCUGAGAGGACGACCAGCCACACUGGAACUGAGACACGGUCCAGUCACCUACGGGUGGCAGCAGUCGAGAAUUUUUCACAAUGGGCGCAAGCCUGAUGGCGCGUGGGGGAUGAAGGGCUUCGGUUCGUAAACCCCUGUCAUUUGCGAACAAAACGUUUGGCCCAACACGUCAAACGUUGAUAGUAGCGAAAGAGGAAGGGACGGCUAACUCUGUGCCAGCAGCCGCGGUAAUACAUAGGUCCCAAGCGUUGUUCGG
rnacentral:rRNA from 1 species